CGCAAACCCUGGGUCUGUGCAGUUACCAGCCAGUCCCUGAGAACUUUCCCCUCCAGCACCAGGGAAAAUGGGAUUUUUGCUCCUUGUAAUUUUCGUUGUAGCAGCUUUGGAAGGUGUCCGGUCCCAGGUGCAGCUAGUGGAGUCCGGAGGGGAUGUGAAAAAGCCCGGAGACUCUCUCCGUCUCUCGUGCAAAGCCUCCGGCUUCACCUUCAGCAACUAUCAAACAGCUUGGGUCCGACAGGCCCCGGGGAAGGGGCUGGAGUGGGUGGCUCAGAUUAGCACGGAUGGAUCGAGCCAGUGGUACUCCCCGGCUGUGAAAGGGAGAUUCACCAUCUCCAGGGAUAAUCCCAACAACCUGCUGUAUCUGCAACUGACCGGCCUGAAGCCCGAGGACACCGCCCGGUAUCACGGUGCUAGAGGCCCACGCUGA